UACGUAGGGUGCGAGCGUUAAUCGGACUUACUGGGCGUAAAGCGUGCGCAGGCGGUUUUGUAAGCCAGAUGUGAAAUCCCCGGGCUUAACCUGGGAAUGGCAUUUGGGACUGCAAGGCUGGAGUGUGGCAGAGGAGACUGGAAUUCCCGGUGUAGCAGUGAAAUGCGUAGAUAUCGGGAGGAAUACCGAUGGCGAAGGCAGGUCUCUGGGCUGACACUGACGCUCAUGCACGAAAGCGUGGGGAGCAAACAGG
rnacentral:rRNA from 1 species